UUUGUAUUUUGUUUAGUGCGUAAUUUUCAUUUGUUAUGCAUUCUUGUUCGAUGUUAAUUAUUAGGACAGGAUUGUGUUUUUUAUAGAAAAAUAUAAGUUGAGUAAUUAAAAUCUAUUUAUAGAAGAAGACAGCCUUAUAGUAUGUAUAAGGAGUAAGAAAAGAAGAGACUCGCCCUUUGCAUAGUCACAAGUACAAAUUGCCUCGGUCGUACAUACCGGAUGCAUCCCAUCAACCAUUUGUCCCGCCUUUCAGAAGAACGCAUUUUGGACAAAACACACCAAUGUCCAGGUGGAGCAGUCUUAUAGGCGAGCUAGGUCUGGAUUUAUUUAUAUAUCUUAUAUAAAGGAUAUCU